GUGGUAUUGGCUUUGCUCAUUGUUGAAGGCCAUAUGGUGACAUAUAGUUGUUAGUUUCAGUGUUAUUUGGUAUCUUGUGCAGGGUUGUCUCAUUGGCAAUCAUAUCACAUUUACUUUUUUUCAUAUUAUAUGUCAUGUUUUAAUUUAAGAAAACAGGGCCACAUGUGGAGCAGGAUCUGCUUACUCUUGUAGACCACCUGAGAUCACCUAGUUUUUUGGUGGGGUUUGUUUUGCUUAGUCUUUAGUUUUCUAUGUUUGUGUCU
rnacentral:lncRNA from 1 species